rnacentral:rRNA from 1 species
UACGUAGGGGGCUAGCGUUGUCCGGAUUUAUUGGGCGUAAAGAGCGUGUAGGCGGCCAGGUAGGUCUGCUGUGAAAACUCGAGGCUCAACCUCGAGACGUCGGCGGAAACUGUCUGGCUAGAGUCCGGAAGAGGAGAGUGGAAUUCCUGGUGUAGCGGUGAAAUGCGCAGAUAUCAGGAAGAACACCUAUGGCGAAGGCAGCUCUCUGGGACGGUACUGACGCUGAGACGCGAAAGCGUGGGGAGCGAACAGG